CACAGGAGCGAAACGAUUCACUGGGGUUGUAGAGAGGAGCCGUACUGAAGCAAAGGCCGAGAGGCUAAGAACUGGAACUACUCAGUUGUUGCUAAUGCUCAGGUGAUUUCACUUUCCACCGUUUUAACUUGGCCUCAUCUUAAGCAAUGACAGCGUGAAAAUAUAUAUUUGAAGUGCUUCUCAAGGCUGACCAAACCGGUAGUUAAAAUACUAAUACAUGCUUCGGUGACUAUUGGCACACGAAGCCUGCCCCAGCUUGGGAGUGGCCACCGCCACAACAGCCACCCUGGCUUAGCUCCCAGAUCCUCCCGCCAAUGAUUCAGCAACAUCAGAGGGGUCAGGCCUGGUACAGGAGGGGGUUUCUAGUACUCUGAUACUACACUCCCGACAGUGUCUGUUCUGACUGAGAGGUGAAGACACAAGCUGGCUACUUUUAUCUCGGCGAUCACCCAGGGAAAGAAGGCUGACUAUCAAAGGAUGAAGCAGAGAAUGACUUCAUUGGUCAUCUAAAAACAAAGUUAGUGGGGAGAAGACAAUA